AACGAACGCUGGCGGCAGGCUUAACACAUGCAAGUCGAACGCCCCGCAAGGGGAGUGGCAGACGGGUGAGUAACGCGUGGGAAUCUACCUAGUUCUACGGAACAACACAGGGAAACUUGUGCUAAUACCGUAUACGCCCUACGGGGGAAAGAUUUAUCGGAAUUAGAUGAGCCCGCGUAAGAUUAGCUAGUUGGUGGGGUAAUGGCCUACCAAGGCGACGAUCUUUAGCUGGUCUGAGAGGAUGAUCAGCCACACUGGGACUGAGACACGGCCCAGACUCCUACGGGAGGCAGCAGUGGGGAAUAUUGGACAAUGGGCGAAAGCCUGAUCCAGCCAUGCCGCGUGAGUGAUGAAGGCCUUAGGGUUGUAAAGCUCCUUCAGUAGGGAAGAUAAUGACGGUACCUACAGAAGAAGCCCCGGCUAACUUCGUGCCAGCCGCCGCCGUAAGAC
rnacentral:rRNA from 1 species